GGGGUUGUGACUCAGUGGUAGAGUGCUUGCCUAGCAUGUGUGAGGCACUGGGUUCAAUUCUCAGCACCG
rnacentral:tRNA from 1 species